rnacentral:rRNA from 1 species
UACGGGGGGGGCAAGCGUUGUUCGGAAUUACUGGGCGUAAAGGGCUCGUAGGUGGUCAACUAAGUCGGACGUGAAAUCCCUCGGCUUAACCGGGGAACUGCGUCCGAUACUGGAUGACUUGAGUUCGGGAGAGGGAUGCGGAAUUCCAGGUGUAGCGGUGAAAUGCGUAGAUAUCUGGAGGAACACCGGUGGCGAAGGCGGCAUCCUGGAACGACACUGACGCUGAGGAGCGAAAGCCAGGGGAGCAAACGGG